GGUUCUCUAGCUCAGCGGGCAGAGCAGCGGUGUGAAGAACCGCAGGUGCGAGGUUCGAGUCCUCGGGGAACCG
rnacentral:tRNA from 1 species